CAGCAGCCGCGGGAAUACAGAGGGUGCGAGCGUUAAUCGGAUUUACUGGGCGUAAAGCGUGCGUAGGCGGCUUCUUAAGUCGGAUGUGAAAUCCCUGAGCUUAACUUAGGAAUUGCAUUCGAUACUGGGAAGCUAGAGUAUGGGAGAGGAUGGUAGAAUUCCAGGUGUAGAGGUGAAAUGCGUAGAGAUCUGGAGGAAUACCGAUGGCGAAGGCAGCCAUCUGGACUAAUACUGACGCUGAGGUACGAAAGCAUGGGGAGCAAACAGGAUUAGAUACCCCGGUAGUCCCUGUCUCUUAUAC
rnacentral:rRNA from 1 species